UCUGGUGGUCAUAGCGGAGAGGAAACACCCGUUCCCAUCCCGAACACGGCAGUUAAGCUCUCCAGCGCCGAUGGUACUAGGGGGUGUGCCCCUGGGAGAGUAGGUCGCCGCCAGAA
rnacentral:rRNA from 1 species